ACCCCUUAUUAUUGUGACUAAAUAGUCUCUAUAUAUUAUUUCAUAAAUGUUUUCAACUGGUGCAGGCGAACCUUCAGACAAGUCCUGUGAGACCUGCGGGUGUCCUAGAGCAAAAGACACCCACCCACAAAAGACACCGUCUCACCUUUCCACAGACGGGUCCAUAUUAGUGUGUAACCCAAACUGUUCGCCACAGACAGAGGUUGGCAGAUCAGCGGUACCGGCUUCACACGGGUCCCAAGACUCUUGUGGGGGUCGUAGAGAAAAACAGAGAACACCGUCAUGUUUGUGAGAGUCUCGUCUUUUCAUAAUAGUUUUGAAGGCCAAACCAUCCGGAUGUUGCAAAACCAAUUUUGUGAGAAUAAUGAUUUUCUGGAUGUCUCUUGGUCUGACAAACACCGCUCUAGCUCGGUCACCUUUCACCGCAGAUGGGAAAGUGAGACAUCGGUGGAUGCCAUGGGAUUGAGACGCAAUCCAAUGCAACAAAAGGACCUGAGUCCUAGGACCAUGCCUCAGGACUACCUGGCAUGAUGACUCCUUGUUGUCCCCAGUCAACCUGGCCGUACUGCUGCUCCAGUUUCAACUGUUCUGCUUGCGGCUAUGGAAUCCUGACCUGUUCACCGGACGUGCUACCUGUCCCAGACCUAUUAUUUGACCAUGCUGGUCAUUUAUGAACAUUUGAACAUCUUGGCCAUGUUCUGUUAUAAUCUCCACCCGGCACAGCCAGAAGAGGACUUGCCACCCCUCAUAGCCGGGUUCCUCUCUAGGUUUCUUCCUAGGUUUUGGCCUUUCUAGGGAGUUUAUCCUAGCCACUGUGCUUCUACCUGCAUUGCUUGUUGUUUGGGGUUUUAGGCUGGGUUUCUGUACAGCACUUUGAUAUAUCAGCUGAUGUAAGAAGGGCUAUAUAAAUUGAUUUGAUUUGAACACGUUUGAAGGACUUACAUACGUCCUCAGUGGAGACUGUGAGUAAUGUAGUCACGUUGUCCUCAGGGGCUCUCCUCGGCAGCUCAGGGUCAUUGUGCUCGACUCUUGAGAAAAAGGUGUUUAGCCUGUCCUGUAGGCUGUCGUGGGAGACUGCAACGUGGCUAGCUUUCUUUUUGUAAUCCGCAAUCGUCAGGAGCCCCUGCCACAUUUGCCUUGUGUCUGACCCACUGAAUUUCUCCUCCACUUUUGUCCCUAUACUUGUGUUUCGCCAUCUUGACGUAGGGCACCCAUCAAACAUCACAGAAUUGGAGCAGCUGACGAGAUGGCCAAUGUUCCAGUAGAAAAGUGCAGAACAGAAAGCUCACUGGUGGCAAACUUAAAGAUAUGUAUAAUUUUCAGCCAGGAGUUUUGAAAGUGGUGCUCACGAGCCAAAAGUGGUCCCCAUUUUUUGUGUACUAUGUCAUCAAAUUGUGUACUGCGUCAUCAAAUUGUGUACUACGUCAUCAAAUUGUGUACCACGUCAUCAAAUUGUGUACUACGUCAUCAAAUUGUGUACUACGUCAUCAAAUUGUGUACUACGUCAUGCAUUUCGUGUCAUAUGUCACAAAUGUGGCACUUUGUAUGAUAUCAUAUUACUUAUUAAAAAAUCGGUUGUGUUUAAGGUCCCGGGGUGACCUCUUUAUUUGGUUCUGCAGUGUUGAAAAUUCAAUAACAAUGUGUUGAGACCAAAAGUUUUUUUUCAAGAAAUUACAUCACCA
ensembl:lncRNA